UUGCAGCCAUAUCAAGUUGAAAUACCCGUUAUCGUCGAAUCGCUAAAGUUAAGCAACCUCGAGCCUGGUCAGUACUUAGGUGGGUGACCGACUGGGAAAAACAAGUGCUGUAAG